rnacentral:rRNA from 1 species
GAUUAACGCUGGCGGCGUGCCUAACACAUGCAAGUCGAGCGGCAGCGAGUUUUACACUGAAUUCUGGAAGCUUCUAGUUGAAAGAGAAGAUUUAUUCAAGAAUUUUGUGUAAAAUGUCGGCGAGCGGCGGACGGCUGAGUAACGCGUGGGAACGUACCCCAAAGUGAGGGAUAACGCAUCGAAAGGUGUGCUAAUACCGCAUAUGGUCUUCGGAUUAAAGCCUUCGGGCGCUUUGGGAACGGCCUGCGUAAGAUUAGAUAGUUGGUGGGGUAAUGGCCUACCAAGUCGACGAUCUUUAACUGGUUUGAGAGGAUGAUCAGUCAGACUGGAACUGAGACACGGUCCAGACUCCUACGGGAGGCAGCCGUGAGGAAUCUUCCACAAUGGGCGAAAGCCUGAUGGAGCAACGCCGCGUGCAGGAUGAAGGCCUUCGGGUUGUAAACUGCUUUUAUAAGUGAGGAUUAUGACAGUAACUUAUGAAUAAGGAUCGGCUAACUACGUG